AGAAGUUCAUAUUCACUGUUGUUGGGAACUGUUACCUUGUAGCAUUUUUCCAAUUACUUGAUUUAGGAAAUGCACUUCACAGUAAAUUUCGCAGUGUUAAAUAUGCAGUGUCACAAUUCAUUGACUCUUUCAGAGCUAUUGCAACUACAGAUUGAGUAUAAUGCCACCUAGUGUUGGUGAAAAUUUCCAGAGUGAAUAGACGUCGUGUCAAUUUGACUCCGACAAGCUCCGCCCACCUCCUCCUCUCAAACGAACAAGUCUAACCGUUGCAUGGACGCCAUUUUUCUCCUGCUCCAACGGCUGUGAAAACAUCUGUGGCACGUUUCUGGAGAAAUGGAUGACGACAUUCAAAAGAGACAUCGUCCAACAAUGCAGAAAGUUUCCAACCAACAGGGAGCUUGAAGAUCUCCUCCUGACAGCUGAUUAUACUGAGGAUUGGACUGACGUGGAUGAUGACAACAUCGGUUGGGACAGUGACGUCUCAUCAAUUUACUACUGCUACUUCUGGUUCCCCCCCUCUGCCAUGGCUCAUUAUUAACCAGGGAAGGUGUCUUCGUCCCAAGCAGAGAAGCAUCUUGUGAUCUUCAAGAAGAGCAGAACCAAAAUCCAGGAAUGUCUUGAUGCCAUUACGACGAGCACACAACCCUACCACCUGGCUGGAGGACAGAAGAAGAAGGCAGUCCACCAAAAUGCCAUUGCUUACAGGUCAACCUCCUCUCUUGGUGCCUUUGACAAACUGUUUAAGGGACUUUGUGUUUGCCACAGUAUACAGCCCCAUGCUGUGCAACAUGUUUACAUUCAUCCAGAUCACUGUGUACAACAUAGACUUUAGCAAAGUAUAGGAGAGUCCUCACGUGGCAGAAAUUUGAGCCAAGUUUUAAUUAUACUUGACCAGUUAUGUUUGCCAUUAAGUGUUUACUUUGUGAGACAGUUAACUUGCACAAAUGCACUUGUUCGGCUGAUGGUGACACUUUGAUUUUAGAGGGUACAGUAAUUGCUGCAAAAUUAGGGAUUGUUUUGACAACUAGUGUGCUUUCUGCCAAGUAGAUAAAAUACUGUGGUACAGAGUUGUGUCCUGACUUUAUCAUAUGUACUGAGAUAGCAUGUGAGAUACCUGUAUUUUGCAAAGGUAAAGUUAUGUGCUGGAAAAUUGAUGGAAAUCAUGAGUUUUGAUGACCACUACAAAUCCCAAAUUUUGCAGCAAUUGCUGCACCCUCUGAAGUCAAAGGGUCACUUUAUGGACAAGCUGCAUGUAGACAAUUUUCUAAAUGUUUUGCAUAUAACUAAUCUUUUCUACUUCAAACCAUUUGAUGUUCAAAUGAAGUAUGUUAUGACUAAUACUACCUUAUAUUUGGUUCCAUAUUGCCAUUUUAUACAGAUCUGUGGUCAUUUUGGUAGUAGUGUUUUUGGUAGUGCUGAAGUUAACUGUUUGUGGAGUUGAGAUUGGUUGCUUGGCAUGCCAGGCACACCUGAAACCAUUUUUACUGUCAACUCAAAGCUCUAAUGUAUUGGGGUGUACACCAUAUGAUAUUACUGUAACACUAAAAGUUUACAAUGGAACUUUAAACGGUGCUUUUGUUCAAUAAAGUGAAGUUAAAUGCA